rnacentral:rRNA from 1 species
AUUGAACGCUGGCGGCAUGCUUUACACAUGCAAGUCGAACGGUACAGGCCGCAAGGUGCUGACGAGUGGCGAACGGGUGAGUAAUGCAUCGGAACGUGCCCAGUCCUGGGGGAUAACUACUCGAAAGAGUAGCUAAUACCCCAUACGAUCUAUGGAUGAAAGCGGGGGACCGUAAGGCCCCGCGCGAUUUGAGCGGCCGAUGUCAGAUUAGGUAGUUGGUGGGGUAAAGGCUCACCAAGCCAACGAUCUGUAGCUGGUCUGAGAGGACGACCAGCCACACUGGGACUGAGACACGGCCCAGACUCCUACGGGAGGCAGCAGUGGGGAAUUUUGGACAAUGGGCGCAAGCCUGAUCCAGCAAUGCCGCGUGCAGGAAGAAGGCCUUCGGGUUGUAAACUGCUUUUGUACGGAACGAAACGGCUCUGGUUAAUACCCGGGGCUAAUGACGGUACCGUAAGAAUAAGCACCGGCUAACUACGUG